rnacentral:SRP_RNA from 1 species
GCCGGGCGUGGUGGCGGGCGCCUGUAGUCCCAGCUACUCGGAGGCUGAGGCAGGAGAAUCACUUGAACCCAGGAGACCGAGGUUGCAGUGAGCCAAGAUCGCGCCACUGCACCCCAGCCUGGGCGACACAGCGAGACUCUGUCUCAA